GAAAUGAAAAGCUGCAAUUUGAAAGAUGUCUUCAUAGAACAAGUUUUGGCUUUUAAGUUGUACUUCACAGGAUUCUUCUGGGCCAGUAGGAAUUUAUUCCUUUAAAAGGAAUCCACAUUCAUUCCCAAAUCUGAGAAACAGUGAGUUCUACCAGGCUCUUUUACUUUGCAAUAAUGAAUUUUUAAAAUCUCAUUUUUAAUGCAAAUAGAUUUCAGUCUGUUUUUGAUAAGGGCUUGAUUUAAAAAAGUAAAAAAACUCCCCAAGUGAUUUAACAAAAACUCAAACCAAAAGCAGAGCUAGCUAACUGGGCUUGAGGUGGUUGCUAAGGAGCUGCUCAGUACAGAUCAGACACACAAACUGCAGCUUUAUAGGCUUCAUGCUGAGGCUGAAGGCAUCGCGCCUAGCUGCUGUUCCUUAUGAGGCAGUCCAUUCGACCAAGACCACACAUCCCUAGAAUGGCCAGGCACCAGAGAUGCCAAGAACAGUCUUUG
rnacentral:lncRNA from 1 species